rnacentral:ncRNA from 1 species
GUUCAAACGAGGAAGGGAUUACGGUGGAUACCUAGGCACCCAGAGAUGAGGAAGGGCAUGGUAAGCGACGAAAUGCUUCGGGGAGUUGAAAAUGAGCAUAGAUCCAGAGAUUCCUGAAUAGGUUAACCUUUUUAACUACUGCUAAAUCCAUGGGCAGGCAAGAGACAACCUGGUGAACUAAAACAUCUUAGUAGCCAGAGGAAUAGAAAGAAAAAGUGAUUCCCGUAGUAGCGGCGAGAAAAAUGGGAGCAGCCUAAACUGUGAAAACGGGGUUGUGGGAUAGCACAAUAUAAUCUCUGUGCUGCUAGGCGAAGCGGUUGAGUCCUGCACCCUAGAUGGUGAGAGUCCAAUAGCCAAAAGCAUCAUUGGGUUACAUUCUAACCCGAGUAGCAUGGGGCACGUGGAAUCCCGUGUGAAUCAGCAAGGACCACCUUUCAAGGCUAAAUACUCCUGGGUGAC